CUACGGGGGGCUGCAGUGAGGAAUAUUGCGCAAUGGGCGAAAGCCUGACGCAGCGACGCCGCGUGGGGGAUGAAGGUCUUAGGAUUGUAAACUCCUGUUAAGUGAGAAGAAAGGCCCAUCUCUAAUAAAGAUGGGAGAUGACGUUAUCACUAGAGAAAGCACCGGCUAACUUCGUGCCAGCAGCCGCGGUAAUACGAGGGGUGCAAGCGUUAUUCGGAAUUACUGGGCGUAAAGGGUGCGUAGACGGUUUAUCAAGUUUCCUGUUUAAUACCUCAGCUCAACUGGGGAUCAGCGGGGAAAACUGGUAUGACUAGAGGAUGGAAGAGAGAAGUGGAAUGCCCGGAGUAGCGGUAAAAUGCGUAGAUCUCGGGUAGAACACCGAUGGCGAAGGCAGCUUCUUGGUCCAUUUCUGACGUUGAGGCACGAAAGCGUGGGGAGCAAACAGGAUUAGAUACCCUCGUAGUC
rnacentral:rRNA from 1 species